CAGACAUCCACCUGUAGCCCGUGGAGGACCCCACGCCGGAGCAGACUCGUUAGUGCCAAUGACAGCAAACACAGCCAAAGCAGAGUGCUCUCCGCAACAGUGAGAAGCCAGCCAAGGAGAACUGUAAACAAGGGCUGGGAGGAAUGACGUACUCUGGACUUUGGUCAGCUCUGCAGAAAGGAGUUGUGUCCUAGAGAACGACAUUUGUACUCCCUCUGCACACUCUUCAGCCCUUAUUUUCACAAGAUGUGACUGCUUUCCCAGGGCAAACUGAUGCCUUGCGUGAGACUGCAGGAAAACAUGCCAUUAAAGGAAGGAGUACUGAU